rnacentral:rRNA from 1 species
AACGAACGCUGGCGGCAUGCCUAACACAUGCAAGUCGAACGAGACCUUCGGGUCUAGUGGCGCACGGGUGCGUAACGCGUGGGAACCUGCCCUUAGGUUCGGAAUAACUCCCCGAAAGGGGUGCUAAUACCGGAUAAUGUCUUCGGACCAAAGAUUUAUCGCCUUUGGAUGGGCCCGCGUUGGAUUAGCUAGUUGGUAGGGUAAAAGCCUACCAAGGCGACGAUCCAUAGCUGGUCUGAGAGGAUGAUCAGCCACACUGGGACUGAGACACGGCCCAGACUCCUACGGGAGGCAGCGGUGGGGAAUAUUGGACAAUGGGCGAAAGCCUGAUCCAGCAAUGCCGCGUGAGUGAUGAAGGCCUUAGGGUUGUAAAGCUCUUUUACCCGGGAUGAUAAUGACAGUACCGGGAGAAUAAGCGCCGGCUAACUCCGUG